CCAGCAUCCAACUCGGCUACGCGUAGCAAAAGCGCUUUUUCCACAGUCAACCCGGAGUUCGUUCUAGUCUUUGCUGCAAGAGUAGGUCCCGCCUCGGCGAGCCUCGCGGCUCAGUUGUCUUUUAUGCUGCUGUCAAACAACAUCUUUGAUGAAUGGUUGUAGUCUUUGAUGAAUGGUUCUCAAGGAAGGCUGAGGAACGCAUUCUGGACUCCACAGAGAAGGUGGAGAUGGGAAAGGGGGUGGGGGGAGUUGGUGACCAGGGACUUAGGCUUUAGUGAGCCGGAACAUCUCAGGUAAGGUCCAUGAGAAUAACCCUGAGCUAGGCCACCAGCUUACCUCGUUUACGAGAGACUGGAGCAGGGUCUGGCAGUUGGACAGAUGGGUGCGUCUUCCUCUGGGUGAGUUUGUGGGUCCAGGUCGGUUAGUGGAACCUUAAAUGGAGUUGUUUAUAUUCAUGCGAUGUUUGUGCUAGUGUGAAUCUUUGUUUCCUUAGGUGUAAGGCGGUUUGUGUUGGAGAUUAUAUACCACUGUUGAAAAGCAACAAUACGUGGUCGUGAAUUGAUAUUGUGAUCAUAUGCAAAGGUCUCUUUGGACGGAAAGACGAGAUCUAUGACAUUGUGUGUGAAUAUCAGUAAUCGAGGACGACUUAAUAUUUCUGCAUCGGAUCACCGGUGUGCCAUGUCAUGUCAGAGACAGCCGUGGACACCAGCUCCGAGAUCACCACCAAGGACUUACAGGAGAAUUGUGGAGGAGGCAGAGAAUGGAAGAGACACACCUUUUAAUGGAAAAGCUCAUGAGGAAAAUGGGGAGCAGGAGGCCAACAAGAUGAAGAAGAGGUAAAAGGGGGUGGGAGGAAGAGGAGGAGAAAUUGGAAGGUGAUGGCGAGGAAGAGGAUGGAGAGGAAGAUGGGGAGGCUUAGGCAGCUACGGACACACAAGCAGUAGAUGAUGAGGAUGAUGAUGUUGACACCAAGAAACAGAAGACCUCUGAGGGGGGUGCCUGGGUGGCACAGCGGGUAAGUGUCUGCCUUCGGCUCAGGGCGUGAUCCUGGCGUUAUGGGAUCGAGCCCCACAUCAGGCUCCUCCGCUAUGAGCCUGCUUCUUCCUCUCCCACUCCCCCUGCUUGUGUUCCCUCUCUGGCUGGCUGUCUCUAUCUCUGUCAAAUAAAUAAAUAAAAUCUUAAAAAAAAAAAUAAGAA
rnacentral:lncRNA from 1 species